GCAGCUCGAGCUCAAGGCCGUGGGGAAGCAGAUUCGCGACCUGGAACAUAGGCAGGCCGAGCUGAGAGAGCGGAGAGCCGCACUGGAAUCAUCCCGGGCUGACGCUCACAAGUCCGGGGCCGGGUGCACCCAGGACGCGAUCUUCCCAGAUGUCCUUCACUGCGACGCCGGGACACCACGGACCCUGGGUACAUCCACAGCGGAGGACGCGAGCCGGGUCCCGGGCGAUGACUUCUCCCCCUCCUGCCUUUGAGAUCUCCAUCCAGAACCGCUUCGCUCCCCUCCGCGAGACAGGACGCGACGCUGUGAUCAUCGGAGACUCCAUCUUCUGACACGUAAGUGCUACGUUAGCCGAAGGUAAAGUGCACACUCAUUGUUUGCCUGGUGCUCGUGUUCUCGAUGUUUCUGCGCAGAUACCCACGAUCCUGAAGGACGAUGAGAGCCCCAGAGCGGUCGUGCUUCACGCCGGGGUUAACGACACCACGCUGCGGCAGACGGAGACGCUGAAGAGGGACUUCAGGAGCCUGAUCGAGACGGUUCGCAGCACGACGCCCGCGGCGACGAUCGUCGUGUCAGGACCACUGCCCACGUAUCGACGAGGACAAGAAAGUUCAGUAGACUUUUUGCUUUAAAUGAAUGGUUGUUGUCAUGGUGUAAAGAACAGAAACUGCUAUUUGUUAAUAACUGGAAUCUUUUCUGGGACAGUCCUAGACUGUUUCGCGCUGAUGGAUUACACCCCAGCAGAAUUGGAGCGGAGCUUCUCUCUGACAACAUCUCCAGGACACUUCGCUCCAUGUGACUAGAUUUACACAAGCUCCAGUCUGGACCCAGAACACCUGAGAAGAGAUGAUGCUGACCCUCAGAGGACCCCAGAUGAUGCUGACCCUGAAUCAACAAACAGAACUAACAAUUAUUGCUAAAUGUGUGACUGAAUCAUGUAAUAACUUAAUUAAUAAUAUUGAUAGUUCAUCGUCUAGCUGACUACGUCUUGUAUUAUUAUUAUUAUUAUUAUUAUUAUUUUUAUUUUUUCUAAAAUCCUGUCGAAUGUGCACAAACUACUAGCUACUACUAAAUAUUGUAGAAACAUAAUUUUCUGUAAAGUUGCUUUGUAACGAUUUGUUUUGUAAAAAGCGCUAUACAAAUAAACUUGAAUUGAAUUGA